rnacentral:rRNA from 1 species
CAGCAGCCGCGGUAAUACGAAGGGGGCUAGCGUUGUUCGGAUUUACUGGGCGUAAAGCGCACGUAGGCGGACUUUUAAGUCAGGGGUGAAAUCCCGGGGCUCAACCCCGGAACUGCCUUUGAUACUGGGAGUCUUGAGUUCGAGAGAGGUGAGUGGAAUUGCGAGUGUAGAGGUGAAAUUCGUAGAUAUUCGCAGGAACACCAGUGGCGAAGGCGGCUCACUGGCUCGAUACUGACGCUGAGGUGCGAAAGCGUGGGGAGCAAACAGGAUUAGAUACCCCAGUAGUCCCUGUCUCUUAUAC